rnacentral:rRNA from 1 species
UACGGAGGGUGCAAGCGUUAUCCGGAUUCGCUGGGUUUAAAGGGUGCGUAGGUGGGUUGAUAAGUCAGUGGUGAAAUCCCCGAGCUUAACUUGGGAACUGCCAUUGAUACUAUUGAUCUUGAAUACCGUGGAGGUCAGCGGAAUAUGUCAUGUAGCGGUGAAAUGCGUAGAGAUGUGGAGGAACACCGAUGGCGAAGGCAGCCUCCUGGGCCAGCACUGACGCUCAUGCACGAAAGCGUGGGGAGCAAACAGG